GCUGCUUGCUUUUGCCUUGGUCGCUUGCACUGAGAGAACUCAGGAGAGAUCAGCUUCUACGGAAAGGAGGCACUUUCCUGGUAAUAAGCAGUAGAUCUUUGGUAUUUGCUGCCUUUGACCUACUUUGGCCUUAUUCCUUUGGUUGCCGAGAUGACUUACUAUAAGGUAAGAGCACUGAAGGGAUGCCCUCCGGGAAUACAAAAAACUCCGGUACUAAGGCGAAGCAUAUAAUAAAGAAGAAUUAGGUGGGGUGAAUGCCAUACGAACACCUUUCUUAAGUUUUUUUUAUUACAUAUUUCAAGAAUUUAGAGAGAAGUGAAGCUGGAGGAAAAAAUAA